ensembl:lncRNA
CCGGAAUUGAUGGCUGCAGCCAAGUCUCUGUGAGUAAUAUUAUGCUACUGUCCCGUACACACUUGUUGACUGCAAUCUGUAAUCUCAGUUCGUCGAUUUUGUUGGUUAUGGACCUGACGUUAGAGAGGAAAAUACUCGGAAGCGGUGGCUUAAAUGGCUGUUUCUUUAGCCGUGCUAGUGGGCCCGCCCUGCAGCCACGCUUUUGCCUCCUUUGUUUACGUUUCCUCUUUGUCUUGCCGCUGGGAAGAACCAACCACGGAGACCCUGGAGCUCUUAUUAUGUCCUCCGGAAUGCCGUGAAAAUGGUGGUAGUCCGAUGUAAUGCUCCUUGCACAGCGUAAUCCCAAACUCAGAAGGUCCUGACGACUAUCACCUUUCCCACUAUCCCCGGCUUUCAGUGAAACUUCCAGCAAUUCAGUUGUCUGGAUAAUUACUUAGAAAAAUUCACCCUGAUAUGUGAAGACAAAUGGCCCAGAUCCUUAGCUGUACCGAGCUCACUUUGCAGGUGGGGGAGAGAUAUAG